rnacentral:rRNA from 1 species
CUCAAUGAAAUUUCAAUAGCCGCAAAAUAUUUGUGCUAAGGUAGCAUAAUCAUUUGUCUUUUAAUUAAAGACUAGAACAAAAGAUUUAACAUUUUUAUUUCUCUCUCAUUUAUAAAUAUUUAAUUUAUCUUAAAUAUAAAAAAAUAUUUAUUAUAAAAAAAGACGACAAGACCCUAUUGAACUUAACUAAAGUUUAACUGGGGCAGUUAAUUAAAUAUAAUUUUAAUUAAAAUUUUAAAAAUAUCUAAUACAAUUAAAUUAAUCAAGUUACCAUAGGGAUAACAGCGUUAUAAUUUUUUAUAGUUCUUAUCUAAAAAAUAGUUUACGACCUCGAUGUUGAAUUAAUAAUCUAUUAAAUGCAAUAAUUUAAUAAGAAAGUCUGUUCGACUU